GACGAACGCUGGCGGCGUGCCUAAUACAUGCAAGUAGAACGCACAGUUUAUACCGUAGCUUGCUACACCAUAGACUGUGAGUUGCGAACGGGUGAGUAACGCGUAGGUAACCUGCCUGGUAGCGGGGGAUAACUAUUGGAAACGAUAGCUAAUACCGCAUAAUAUUGAUUAUUGCAUGAUAAUUGAUUGAAAGAUGCUAUUGCAUCACUACCAGAUGGACCUGCGUUGUAUUAGCUAGUAGGUGAGGUAACGGCUCACCUAGGCGACGAUACAUAGCCGACCUGAGAGGGUGAUCGGCCACACUGGGACUGAGACACGGCCCAGACUCCUACGGGAGGCAGCAGUAGGGAAUCUUCGGCAAUGGACGAAAGUCUGACCGAGCAACGCCGCGUGAGUGAAGAAGGUUGUCGGAUCGUAAAGCUCGGUUGUAAGAGAAGAACGGGUGUGAGAGUGGAAAGUUCACACUGUGACGGUAGCUGACCAGAAAGGGACGGCUAACUACGUG
rnacentral:rRNA from 1 species